rnacentral:rRNA from 1 species
CGCAUACGCCCUACGGGGGAAAGCGGGGGAUCUUCGGACCUCGCGCUAUUGGAUGAGCCCAAGCCCGAUUAGCUUGUUGGUAGGGUAACGGCCUACCAAGGUUACGAUCGGUAGCUGGUCUGAGAGGACGACCAGCCACACUAGGACUGAGACACGGCCCAGACUCCUACGGGAGGCAGCAGUGGGGAAUAUUGCACAAUGGGCGCAAGCCUGAUGCAGCAAUGCCGCGUGUGUGAAGAAGGCCUGCGGGUUGUAAAGCACUUUCAGUAGAGAGGAAAAGCUCAAGGUUAAUACCCUUGAGUCCUGACGUUAACUACAGAAGAAGCACCGGCUAACUCCGUGCCAGCAGCCGCGGUAAUACGGAGGGUGCGAGCGUUAAUCGGAAUUACUGGGCGUAAAGCGCGCGUAGGCGGUCAGAUCAGUCGGAUGUGAAAGCCCCGGGCUCAACCUGGGAAUUGCAUUCGAUACUGUCUGGCUAGAGUAUGGUAGAGGGAAGCGGAAUUCCGGGUGUAGCGGUGAAAUGCGUAGAUAUCCGGAGGAACAUCAGUGGCGAAGGCGGCUUCCUGGACCAAUACUGACGCUGAGGUGCGAAAGCGUGGGGAGCAAACAGGAUUAGAUACCCUGGUAGUCCACGCCCUAAACGAUGUCAACUAGCCGUUGGGUUCAUUAAAGGGCUUAGUGGCGCAGCUAACGCGUUAAGUUGACCGCCUGGGGAGUACGGCCGCAAGGCUAAAACUCAAAGGAAUUGACGGGGCCCGCACAAGCGGUGGAGCAUGUGGUUUAAUUCGAUGCAACGCGAA